AACUCAACAGUAGACUCAGAGCUUCUACAUAUGAGUCUUUUUGGCCAUCCUCUUUCAAAUCCAGGUGAAGCUUGUUUCUUACAUUAGACACAUUUGUGAAAAGGCUUUAUAGUCUUUUAUUCAAAACUUCAGCGUUCUCUAUAGUCCCUUGAAAAGGCAUCUCAUUGGAAGUGGCUCUGCCCAGUUCCCGUCUCAGCAUUUAAUCACUGAAGUGACAACUGAUACCUUUUGGGAAGUAGUCCUUCAAAAACAGGACGUUCUCCUGCUCUAUUACGCUCCGUGGUGCGGCUUCUGUCCAUCCCUCAAUCACAUCUUCAUCCAGCUAGCUCGGAACCUGCCCAUGGACACAUUCACUGUGGCAAGGAUUGACGUGUCUCAGAAUGACCUUCCUUGGGAAUUUAUGGUCGAUCGUCUUCCUACUGUCUUGUUUUUUCCCUGCAACAGAAAGGACCUAAGUGUGAAAUAUCCCGAAGACCUCCCCAUCACCCUUCCAAACCUGUUGAGGUUCAUUUUGCAUCACUCAGACCCUGCUUCCAGCCCCCAGAACGUGGCUAACUCUCCUACCAAGGAGUGUCUUCAGAGCGAGGCAGUCUUACAGCGGGGGCACAUCUCCCACUUGGAGAGAGAGAUCCAGAAACUGAGAGCAGAAAUAAGCAGCCUCCAGCGAGCACAAGUGCAGGUGGAGUCCCAGCUCUCCAGUGCCCGCAGAGAUGAGCACCGGCUGCGGCAGCAGCAGCGGGCCCUGGAAGAGCAGCACAGCCUGCUCCACGCACACAGUGAGCAGCUGCAGGCCCUCUAUGAGCAGAAGACACGUGAGCUGCAGGAGCUGGCCCGCAAGCUGCAGGAGCUGGCCGAUGCCUCAGAAAACCUCCUUACCGAGAACACGUGGCUCAAGAUCCUGGUGGCGACCAUGGAGAGGAAACUGGAGGGCAGGGAUGGAGCUGAAAGCCUGGCGGCCCAGAGAGAGGUCCACCCCAAGCAGCCUGAGCCCUCAGGCACCCCCCAGCUCCCUGGCAGCUCCCCUCCACCUGCCAAUGUCAGUGCCACACUGGUGUCUGAAAGGAAUAACGAGAACAGGACAGACUAACUUUUUAAAUGAUAUGAAGAAAUCAGAGGUGAAAAUUGUACAUUGGGAAUAUAUUUAUGCAAAUUUUAUUGAAAUUUAUUGUAAAUAAAGAUUUUCUCAGUGGUCUAGAAAA
rnacentral:sRNA from 1 species